rnacentral:rRNA from 1 species
GUAACGAGCGCAACCCUUGUCCUUAGUUACCAGCACGUUAUGGUGGGCACUCUAAGGAGACUGCCGGUGGACAAACCGGAAGGAAGGUGGGGAGUGACGUCAAGUCAUCAUGGCCCUUACGGCCUGGGCUACACACGUGCUACAAUGGUCGGUACAAAGGGUUGCCAAGCCGCGAGGUGGAGCUAAUCCCAUAAAACCGAUCGUAGUCCGGAUCGCAGUCUGCAACUCGACUGCGUGAAGUCGGAAUCGCUAGUAAUCGCGAAUCAGAAUGUCACGGUGAAUACGUUCCCGGGCCGUU